rnacentral:rRNA from 1 species
CAAUAGCGUAUAUUAAAGUUGUUGCGGUUAAAAAGCUCGUAGUUGGAUUUCUGCUGAGGACGAUCGGUCCGCCCUCUGGGUGAGUAUCUGGCUCGGCCUUGGCAUCUUCUUGGAGAACGUUACUGCACUUGACUGUGUGGUGCGGUAUCCAGGACUUUUACUUUGAGGAAAUUAGAGUGUUUCAAGCAGGCGCACGCCUUGAAUACAUUAGCAUGGAAUAAUAAGAUAGGACCUUGGUUCUAUUUUGUUGGUUUCUAGAGCUGAGGUAAUGAUUAAUAGGGAUAGUUGGGGGCAUUCGUAUUUAACUGACAGAGGUGAAAUUCUUGGAUUUGUUAAAGACGGACUACUGCGAAAGCAUUUGCCAAGGAUGUUUUCAUUGA